rnacentral:lncRNA from 1 species
AAAGGCCACUUUCCCCAAGAUAUAGAAUCUCCAGGUUCCUCAUAUUUACAAUUUCUUUGGGAAUGGAACCAUGGAAUUUAUUAGUUCCAAAUGACAAAUGGUUUAGGUCCAUGUGCCAAAUUCUCUGAGGAAUGCUGCCAGAAAGGUUGUUGCCUCCUACAUCUACAUGAAUCAAAUUGUUCAACUUUUCUAUAGAGAUUGGGAUUGCCCCUGUGAGAUUGCACCAAGGAACAUGAAGCAUUCUCAGCUCCCUCAAUCUCCCUAUUUCUUGGGGAAGGGACUCACUGAAAAUAUUACCACUCAUGUUCAACUUUUGAAGGCUAAUCAACUGUGUUAUUUCAGAAGGGAUAAUCCCAGAGAGUUUAUUAGCAGACAAAUCAAGAACAACUAGAUUGGACAGAACUCCAAUUUGAGGAGGAAUACUUCCGCUCAGGGAGUUGUUACUUACAUUUAGAGUGUGAAUGUUUGUAAGCAUUGAGAAGUUGAGGUUUUCAAGCGUACCUCUCAAUCCAAUAUUUUGAAGAUUUAUUUGGGAAACAUGAUUGGAGUGAUCACAUGCAAUUCCGAACCAAUUGCAAGAAGUGUUGGCAGUCCAUGAAGAGAGAGAAGCUUGACUCUUCAUGUCAAGGCUGGCUUUCCACUUCAGCAGAGCAUUUGCUUCUGAAGCAAUUCCAGAAGAAUUGAAAGCAUGAGAAUGGGGAAAUGCAGAAAAGAACAUUAGAAGAAGCAACCAAAAGGGUUGGAACUUCAUCGACAAAAGCGUUGAAAAUAUGAACAUCAUACUGAAUUGUUCACACGUAAGAGAAAGCUUCCAUGUUGCUCAUGCAAUGUGCCGCUACUUAUAAACUAAGAGUCAAUGGUACAUGACCCAAGUCAACGUUAUUAACUGUAUGUUGGCGUGUUCCCUAAGUUUAAAAUACAAAUUAUGAUAUUUUCCUUCUAGUUAUACUUUUCAAUGUUUAGGAAAAACAAUAACUAUCAUAAACCAGCGUUCUAUCUUGGCGUGCUAUUUUAUAUAUGAAUCUUAAAAUACAACAAUUUGUGUUUUUGAAAUUUAAGAAUAAUUGUGUUUUUGUAGUUUAAAAUUCAAAACAAUAAGUCGUUUGCUAAUAUGGAGAUGAGAGUGUCAUAUUAAGAACAAAACAACAAAGGAGAGAGAUAAAAAUAAAUGAUACAAUAAUUUAUGGUGAUUUAUGUAUACGUUCACACUACAAUGGUAAAUAUAUUUAUUUUGAUGUCUUUCAAGUCUUACAUAGGUGUCAAACACUCGGGAGAAUAAAUUUAUGUCUUAUAAAAAUAAAAUAAAAUUAAAAAUGUUAUACAUCUUUUUUUAUUUGUACCUUCAAUUUAACUAUGUUAAAAUCUUAUUACUAAAUUUUUCAUUUUUAAUCCUCGUUUCAAUGGAUUAACUAAUCCAACACAUUUUUACAUAUUUACCACUUUAUUUUUCUUCUCACAUCUCACCUUCCACAUCACCCUCCACAUUACAUACUUUUCCAUCUAAUUUUUGUACCAACUUUUAUUAUUAUUUUGUCUAUCCAUUCUCUUCGUCUAAUUAUUCCAUCCACUUUUUAUAUUAUUUUUUUACUCAUUUCUCCAUUAAAUUUUUGUAUGUUUUCAACUCAUUUUUUAAAAUCAUAUUUUAUAUAUUCACCUAUUUUCUCCUAUCUUUCUUUUUUUAUUAUUUCCCCCAUUUAUUUUAUGAGAUCUAAAAUUUUCACCGACUUUUUAUAUUAAUUUUUGCAACCAUAUCCUAGUGCUUAUUACCUUCCAUUUUCACAACCAUAUAAAAAUACUAAAAGAUACAAAAUCUUAAAAAGAAAAACUAAAACAUAAACUUUUUUCAAACAAAUAAUCCAUUACGUUAUUCUUGAUUUUCAUCCUGAAUUUAGAUAAGUAGAACUAAGGUCAAUCCUUGUUAAAUUCACUUCCAAAAAAAAAAAAAUCUAUAAUCAUUUCUAAACAAUUUUCCAAAUAAUAUUUUUAGAUCAAUUUCCAAAAUAAUUUUUAAAUAGUUUUUAAAGAACUACAUAACCUUGAUUAUCAUUUUGAAUGAGAACAAGUAGGACAAGGUCAAUCCUUGUUGGUCUUAAAAAAACCAAAAAAAUAUUUUUGUUUCUUUAAGAUUGUAAUUUUUAGGGAAAAUAAAAUAUUUUGAAAACCACAUCAACUUUGUAUAUUUAAUUAAAUGUACUACCUUCAGACAGGAGUAGUAGGGUGCACUAUAUUUCUUACAUGUAACUAACUCUCAGACUCAAAAUCUAGUUUUGUAGACCAUGCCUAAUUUUUUCGGGUUUUUCAUAGCUUUCUAGAAUAACCUAUGGUGACGACUCCAAAACCUCUGUUAAUACAAGAUCGUCUAAGUAAACCUUGUGUUGAAGUUUAACCAGCAUCUAAACGAAAUAACUUUAAACAAUGUAAAUCUUUUAGGAUAAAAAUGAAAGCGUUAAAUGUUAUAGAUAGAAAUUAUCCUAAAUGCCAAGUGUUACUUAAAUAAACAUGCCUAAAUGGUUAUUCAUGUGUUAUGCCUAAACAACCGGGAUUGUCUAACGCUUUAUUGCAUGUACUAGUAGUACUCUUUUAUUGGAAGAAUUAUGCUAUCUUUUUCUAUGCAGAUAAUCUUAGUACAAUACCUUUAUUUAACAGCCUACAUCAGAACUAAAAGAAUGUUUAAAGACAUGGAAGUAUUCUAAGAAUGUUUCCUUCACACCUUCUGUCUAUCUCUUCCGUACACAACAUAGUUUCCUCUACAAGACACAAAUAGCUUCUAACCUAGUACAAAAGGCUACAUCCCUAUGUGAAAGUUAAAGCUCUGAGUAACAAAUCUUUCUUGAAGAAAUUGAUAUAAAAAGGAUUGUAUGAAGAGAAGAAAUAAAGAAUUAUUUGUGCAUACUUUUUUGUUGCUAUUUUCUGUAAGCUUCCAUUGUCUAAUGCUUAUUCUUUGAAAAAUAAAAAGUCCCUUUACAAGUUUUCAUAAUCUCUUUGUAUUGAUUUCAUAUCCUUUCUACGAGAGUUAUUUUCUGAUCUUGUAUCUUGCAAAAACACUUUGUUGUUUUCAUAUUCGUAAGUGAAUUCAAACACUUGUAACUUGGAGUUAAACGAUUUAGUCAGUUAGACUAGUUUAUACCAGAAGUGGUGAUACUCGUCUUAACCAGUUGGAUUAGUUUUAAUAUCAGGAGUGGUUAAACUCGAGUGUAAUAUUUUUAUAUUAGUGAAACCCCCUUAAGAGUACUUAAGGGAGAACUAGACGUAACUUAGUUUAGAGUGAAUUAAUAUAAAAAUAAGUGUGUCUUGUUGUUGUUUUCAAAAGUUUUCCUAAAUGCUAUUUGAAAAGAUAAAGUGUUUAACAGUUAUUGUAAACCGUCUAAUCCCUCCAAAAGAGCUUAAAUACAUAUUUGCGAAAAGUUUUAAGAACUCUAUUCAAACCUAUCUUUCUAGAUUUUUUUUCCUAUGUUUCUAGCUAAUAGGGUUGCUUAUAUAGCAAAGUGGAGAAUAACAUCUCACAAUACUAAACAAUGCCAGACUAAAUCAAACUACAAAUACUAAAAUUCUUUCACUUGGAGUUUGAUUUAGUAUAGUUGCCUUCAUAAUCAAUUAUUCUUGAAUGCUAAUUGAGGAAAUACAAAACCUCAACUUAUUUGUUGUAACAGUUAUGGUCAACAUGUCAGUUGGAUUCUCUACACCUGAAAUCUUCGACAAAGACAAGCCUUCAUCAUUUAUCAGGUUUAUAAUAAAAUGAUACUUUAAUGCAAUGUGCUUGCAUCUAGAAUGAAGAAUUGAGUUUUUAGCAAGAUAUAUAACAAUCUAACUAUCACUGAACAAUGGACAAUCAUUAUUUUCUUUCCCUAAUUCUUUUAGAAGGUUCUUCGACCAUAUCAUCUCCUCUUUUACUUUUAAGAUAGCUAUAUACUCAACUUCAGUAGUUGAGAAGGAAGCUCUUCUUUGAAGUUUAGACUUCCAAUUUCCUUUGAAGUUUAGACUUCCUAUUUUCUUUGAAGUAUUUAACAAUAAAGUUAUUAUUUAUGCAUAGAUUAAAUAUAUUUUUAAUUUUUAAACUUUGACACGAAAUUAGAAUAUAUUUCUACUUAAAAUUUUGAUAUAUAUUUUGAUCCCAAAUUUUAAUAACACAUAAAUAUAGUUAUUUUAAUUCAAUUAUUUUUUAUAUUGUAUUAUAUGAAAUAUAGUUAAUGGUCAUUCAUGGGCAAUUAUCGGGUAUUAAUUUACAAAUAUAUGGUAUUAAUGAUUAAUUAUUGGGUUUGAUUACCUAAAAUAUAUUGCACUAAUGGUUAAUCAAUGGAGUUGCUGUCACAAGCCUUAUAAGUAUACAACUGAUGUCAAAGUACAAUGAUCUUCUUCUAUACUAAUAAAAUAUUGACCUUUCUAUGAAACAUAUAUGACUUGAGCGUCGGAGUGUCUUCUGCAGGUCAACCUCCAAUCGGGAUGUAUUACAUGAAGAGUUGGACGACCGGAGCAUAGUCAGAAGGAUCGACCCUACCGAAACAUAUAUCAUAUACAUUAAUAUUAGCAUUUGAAUUGUUUUCCUAACACAUUUACAAAAAUGCAUUUGAAACGGAAAGAAAAUAUUACGUAAUUAAAUUAAAAUGAUUAUAUCUAUUUUAAAGUUUGAAAAUAAAAAUAUAUCAAUAUUUUAGAAAAAACAAAUUCUAGUUUUACUUUGACUAAAAACAUAUUAUUUAAAAUUUGAAUUGAUUUGUGUACUCUUGUUUCUACAAUUGCAUUCUUUUUCAAUGACUAUAUUCAUUUUAUUUUUCUUUUGAAGAUAAAAAUUUAUUUCAAAUAAAUAUUUUAUAAUGACUAAAAACAUGUUUAAAUGCUUUUGUGCUCUUGUUUCCACAAUGCAUUAAUUAGUAUUGGUGGUGAUUUGCACUCUUUUUCAAUGAAAUAUUGACUUACCAUGUCAUCUCAAAUGACCCAUAACAUAAAUGUUCAAAACUUUAUGUAUAUACGUAUAAUUUUGAUAUGUACUUUCCUAUAAUAAUUCAUUUACAUGUGUUUUAGAUUCUAGCUACUUUUAUUACUUUUAUUUAUUUUUCAAGAAAAUGAAAUAAAGAGUAAACUUAAGAUUUUUUUAAGGAAAUAAAAUAACUAUUUGUAAUAGAAAAAUUAUGUAUAAAAUAAAAAAUUAUUUCCAACAAAAUUAUAAAAUUUAUAUUUUACUAAUUUUGAGUAUCAAAUGUAUCUCGCAUUUGUCUCCCGUAAUGUUCAUAAUUGAUUUGUACAGUAUUGUUUCCUCAAUUAUUAUUAGUGUAGGUGUGGUGAGAUAUAUUCUAAAGCUUGCAUUUUUGUCAAUGAAAUUGACUUAUUAUUAGUGUAUGUGUUGUGAGAUAUAUUCUAAAACUUGGUAUUUUGUCAAUGAAAGAUUGACUUGGGCACUUUUUUUAUUGGUAAGUGUUAAUUGUUAUGAACUCUUCAAAUCAACUUAUAUUUCAAUAAUCUUUCUACAAUACAAUACUUGUGAAUAGAUUCAAAACUUCAUGAAAAAUGUAUUAUAUUUAUCAACUUCAUAUCUGUAUAUAUAAAUUUUGAUAUGUACAUUUAAAAUAUAUUAUCAAUUAAAAUAUUAUAUUUAAUAACCAUCAUUCAAGUAUGCUUUAAAUAAAUUAUUUGAAUGAUGUUUUCUUUUUUUAAACCUAAUACGUUUUUAGUUUUACGAAAAGUGACUACCUAAAUAUAUAAAUUUUUUAUAUUUUAGUCAUAAUUGUAAAUAAAUAAAAUUUUAUAUUUUAGUCAUAAUUGUACUUUUUUUAUUUACUGUUAAUGAAAACAUAUGUAUCACGUACAUAUGUGCUAACUCUUUUUCUUAUGAUAGUAAAAAAAUAAUAAAAUUAUUAUAAUUAUAGUAAUAAAAGUAAAUUUGUAUAAAUUUUACAAUUAUAUUAUAGAUAAUGGAUACUUUUUUAGAACAUGUUUUUAUUGUUGGAUUAAAUAUGUUUUUAGCCCCUAUACUUUGGGGUGAUUUUGGUUUUAGUUCCUCUUUCAAACUAAGGUACAAUUUAGUCCUUCAACUCUAGAAUACUCUAGUUUUAGUCCUUUUUUUACCAAAUUUUUUUAACUUUAUUUGUUGUUUCAAGUAUGUUUCAUUAUAGUAUUUGGAUUGUUUACACUGUUUGACACAUUUUUACUUCAAUGUUGACUGAGAAACGCGUUUGAAACAACAAAUAAAGUUAAAAAAAAUUUGGUAAAAAGGACUAAAACCAGAAUUUUCUAAAAUUAAAGGACUAAAUUGUAUCUUAGUUUAAAAGAGGGACUAAAACCAAAAUUGCCCCAAACUAUAGGGACUAAAAACAUAUUUAACUCUUUAUUGUAAUAGUUAAUGAAAUUUUAAAAAAGUAGAUAAAUUUUGGAAAAACGGUCAAAUUGAAAAAAAACACGCUUAAAUUUAAAAGAAAAAGUUACUUAAAAGAUAAAGUUUGUAAAAUAAUUAUUUUAAUUUUAAAAAGAAUACUUAAAAGAUAAAAUUAGAAAAAAAAUGUGUAUAAAAGAAGAUAGACCUCUCUGUGUAAUAUAGAGAGACUCUAAGAUAUAGAAGAAGAACUGGAAAUGUUCUCUCUUAUUUAUUACCAAAAUUCAUACAACUAUAUAUAGUCGUUACAGUAAAGUAAAACUGAAACAGAUCACAUUUAUAUGCCUACAUGUGAUCCCUAAAGUCAAGGAACUAAUUGACUUAUUCUCCCUAAAUAAUAGGAAUAGAGAAACUAAACAGAAACAAAUAAGAAUAGCAGUUGCAGACUUAACAUUCCCUNNNNNNNNNNNNNNNNNNNNNNNNNNNNNNNNNNNNNNNNNNNNNNNNNNNNNNNNNNNNNNNNNNNNNNNNNNNNNNNNNNNNNNNNNNNNNNNNNNNNNNNNNNNNNNNNNNNNNNNNNNNNNNNNNNNNNNNNNNNNNNNNNNNNNNNNNNNNNNNNNNNNNNNNNNNNNNNNNNNNNNNNNNNNNNNNNNNNNNNNNNNNNNNNNNNNNNNNNNNNNNNNNNNNNNNNNNNNNNNNNNNNNNNNNNNNNNNNNNNNNNNNNNNNNNNNNNNNNNNNNNNNNNNNNNNNNNNNNNNNNNNNNNNNNNNNNNNNNNNNNNNNNNNNNNNNNNNNNNNNNNNNNNNNNNNNNNNNNNNNNNNNNNNNNNNNNNNNNNNNNNNNNNNNNNNNNNNNNNNNNNNNNNNNNNNNNNNNNNNNNNNNNNNNNNNNNNNNNNNNNNNNNNNNNNNNNNNNNNNNNNNNNNNNNNNNNNNNNNNNNNNNNNNNNNNNNNNNNNNNNNNNNNNNNNNNNNNNNNNNNNNNNNNNNNNNNNNNNNNNCUUUAGUGGUUUUGUCAUGAUAUCUACAAGUUGAUCCUGAGAGUUACAAAAACUGAGUUGCACUUCCCCAUUAUUAACUAAAUCCCGAAGAAAAUGAAAUCUCACAUCAAUAUGUUUGCUCUUUCCAUGAAAUACCGGAUGUUUGGAUAGUUGUAUAGGAGAACUGUUAUCACACAUAAUUUUGAUCCCAGAUUCAUCUUUAAUUCCAAUCUGCUUAAGUAUUCUUCCAAGCCAAAUACAUUGGCAAGCACAGAGAGCUACUGCCAUGUAUUCAGCCUCAUUUGUAGACAAUGCUACCACAGUUUGUCUUUUUGAAGCCCAAGACAUCGCUCCUGUACCCAUCAUAAAUAUAAAACCAUAUGUGCUCCGUCGAUUAGCCAAAUCACGCGCAUAAUCAUUGUCCGUAAAGGCUAGUAAUUUUGGAUCACCACUCUCUUUUCUGUACCAAAUCCCAAAAUUGAUUGUGCCUUUCACAUACCUUAAAAUUCUUUUUGCAGCAAGCCAAUGUGUUGAGGUGGGACAUAAAUCUACUAAUCAAACUUACUGUAUACAUCAAAUCAGGCCUUGUAACAGUUAAAUACAUCAAGCUGCCAACUAGUUGUUUAUAUAGUGUUUCGUCAACUUUCAUUCCUUUUGUUUCUAUUGACUAUUUUGUUCCUAGCACCAUUGGAUUUUUUACUGCGUUGUUGUCCAGCAUUCCAAACCUUGACAGUACCUCCCGUGCAUAUCUCCCUUGGCAGAUAAAUAUGCCAUUGGAAUUUUGUUGAACUUCAAUGCAAAGAAAAUGACUCAUCCUGCCCAAAUCAGUCAUAGCAAACUGCUGCAUCAUAAAAUGUUUAAACUGCUCACACAUGAAUCUAUCAUUACUAGUGAAUAUUAAGUCAUCCACAUAGAGACUAACUAUUAGGAUUUUGCUGCCUUGUGACUUAGUGAACAAUGUGUGUUCACUAGAGCAUUUUUCAAAUUGUUCUUGGGUGAAGUAAGCUUCAAUCUUAUUAUACCAGGCCCGGGGUGCCUGUUUGAGACCAUAUAAUGCUUUCUUGAGCCGAUAAACUUUCUCCUCUUGUCCUUUCUUCACAAAACCUUCUGGUUGCAGAACAUAGACAUUCUCCUUAAGCUCCCCAUGUAGGAAAGCACUCUUCACAUCCAAUUGAAACUCUUCCCAUCUAUAUUAAGCAGUUGUGGCCAAGAUUACUCGAACUGUGUCAAGCUGAGCCACUAGUGUAAACACUUCAGUAUAAUCAAUACCAUGUCGUUGUGCAUAACCUUUAGCGACAAGCUUGCUUUGUAUUUCUCCAUUUGUCCCUUUGUGUUCAGUUUUGUCUUAAACACCCAUUUAACUCCAAUAGGUGUAACUCCGUGAGGUAAUACAGUGAGUUCCCAUGUGUGAUUUUGUUCUAUUGCCUCCAUUUCACUUGUCAUAGCCUCUCUCCAAUGUUUACUAAUCACAACCUCUGUGAAGGUGACUGGAUCACUAUCUGUCAUUGCAUUGAAGCAAUCUUCUUCGGCAAGACCAGUUUCAUAGUCUUCUAACCAUCUUGGUCGUCUCCUUGUACGGACACCCCUCCUUGGAGAAAUAGCAGAUGAAGUACUACUCUCUGUACCAGUCUUAACCUCUGCAUCAGUCUCAACCUCUGCACCAGUCUCAACCUUUGCACCAGUCUCAGUGUUGUCUUCCGCCUCAUUCCUACCAUCGGCAUCUUCAUAGUGAAGAUCAGGCUGCUGUGUCGCUGUCUCUAAAGUACUCCAGUUCCAACCUUUUUCUUCCGCAAACACCAUAUCUCUACUGAUAAUAGUGGAUUUGGAAAUUGGGUCAUAUAGCUUCCAAGCCUUUGAUUUAUCACUGACUCCCAAGAAAAUGAAUGGUCUGCUUUUGUCAUCCAGUUUAGUCCACUUCUGAUUUGGUAUAUGCACAUGUGCAAGGCAGCCAAAAAUUUUAAAAUAUUCCACCACAGGCUUCACACGGUUCCAGGCCUCCUCUGGAGUCUUAUUUUCUACUGCUGCAGUUGGGCUCCAAUUCUGAAUGUGCACACACCACUUCACAGCAUCCGGCCAAAACAUUUUGGGAACCUGUUUUCCAGACAAUACAGCUCGAACAACGUUCAUGAUUGUUCUAUUUUUUUCGUUCAGCGACACCAUUUUGUUGGGGAGUGUAGGAGGUGGUCAGUUGUCGACGUAUUCCUUGUGAGUGACAAAACUCGUCAAAGGUGUUGGAUAGGAAUUCACCUCCUCUAUCUGUCCUGAGACAAGAUAUACGCGUACCUGACUCCGACUCAACACGAGCUUUAAACUUUUUAAACAUAUUAAAAGCUUCUGAUUUUUCAUGUAAAAAAUACACCCAAGUCUUACGAGUAAAAUCAUCAAUGAAGGUCAUAAAAUAACACUUACCACUAUGUGAAAUUGGUUGGAUAGGUCCACAAAUGUCUGAGUGAAUCAGCUGAAGCCGUCUAGAUGCUCUCCAGGUGCUUUGACUUGGAAACGAAUUUUUGGACUGUUUCCCAAUUAAACAUGUAGAACAUGUAUUUACUUGAAACUCCAAUGUUGGCAGUCCAACCAUCCCUUUGCAGGCCAACAUAUUCAACACCUUAUAAUUAAGAUGUCCAAAUCUGCAGUGCCACAGGAAAGCUUCUUUUUCUGAAACUGUUUUUGUUUGCAAGCAUACUGGUUGUUUUGGCACUAAGGAAGCUGUCACAUAAAACAUCCUGUUUCCACUCAUAUUAGUUUGCAUAAUCAGUCCUCUUGUGGCAUGAAAUACUUUACAUGUGCCAUCUGAAAUCAAAAUGGUUAGACCUUUUUCUUGCAAUUGUCCUAAGCUGAGUAAGUUGUUCUUCAACUCAGGAAUGUAGUAUACAUCAUUCAAGACAUGAGAAAUGCCAUUAAUUUGCAUUCGAAUACUCCCCUUAGCUACUACUUUCAUGUGUAUAUCAUUCCCAAGCUUCACGGUUUUGCUGGACUCUUCCUCCAAAUUUACAAACCACAAUUUAUUGCCUGUCAUGUGGUUACUGCAGCCAGAAUCAAAGUACCAUUUGUCUUCUACAUUUUGGGAGUCCUCCUCAUGUGCCAUUAAUAAGAGCUCUUCCUCUUCAUCAUCCAUUUCUACAUAAUUUGCCUUCUUGUCCCAAUCUGGACACUCGUAUUGAAAGUGUCCCAAUUUGUGAUACUUAAAGCAUUCAACAGUGGCUCUAUUGAAUGAUUGUCUGCCUCUCCCUCUACCGCGGCCACCUCUGAAUGUACCCCGGCCUCUUCCUCUUUGAGGCCGAUCAUCAUGAUUGUUUCUACUUGAAACUUCCUCAUGUGUUGCCUUUAACACCUGUUCCUCUUCCUGCGAUCCUUGCAUUCGUUGCUCAUGUACAAGAAGACUCUCAUGCAGCUCAUCAAUAGACAAAAUGAUUGUAUUAUUUGAUUCUUCAAUUGCACAGACUAGAUAAUUGAAUUUUGGGGUGAGCGAGCGCAAGAUCUUACUCACCACAGUGUUGGACUCCAUCACCUCUCCAUUUGAUCGCAUUUUACUUACCACAGUCAUAAUGCGACCAAAAAAACUGUCUACUUUCUCCCCAUCUUUCAUGGUGAGUAAUCCAAAUUCUCUUCGUAGUGCUUGGAGUUGUGCACGCUUCACCCGUGUAGAGCCUUGAUAUUUUUGACGCAUAGAUGUCCAAAUGGAUUUGGACGUGCUUUUGUCAAGGAUAGUCUCCAAAAUUUCGCAAUCAAUAGAUUGAAAGAGAAAAUUUUUCACUCUCAAAUCUUUAAGUUCAGCCUCUUGAAGCAUUUUCUGUUGGGUCUCACUGUUGGGUCCUGUACUAAGAACAAAAGUUGGAAUACCAUCCUCCACCAAGCUCCAGAGCUCCUUGCUCCGAAGGAAAUUUUCCAUCGUCAUGGACCAAAAAUCAUAAUGUCCAUUGAACCUUGGGAUAGACGGUUGGACGAACUGUUCAGGGGUUGUCAUUUUGAAGGAAUCACAGGUAUUCAACACUCUGCCUCUCUUGUUGGUGCUUUUCGGUCGUUGGAUUAUCAGGCCCCUUACAGCUCUUGAUACCAAAUGUGUAAUAUAGAGAGACUCUAAGAUAUAGAAGAAGAACGGGAAAUGUUCUCUCUUAUUUAUUAGCAAAAUUCAUACGACUAUAUAUAGUCGUUACAGUAAAGUAAAACUGAAACAGAUCACAUUUACAUGCCUAGAUGUGAUCCCUAAAAUCAAGGAACUAAUUGACUUAUUCUCCCUAAAUAAUAGGAAUAGAGAAANNNNNNNNNNNNNNNNNNNNNNNNNNNNNNNNNNNNNNNNNNNNNNNNNNNNNNNNNNNNNNNNNNNNNNNNNNNNNNNNNNNNNNNNNNNNNNNNNNNNNNNNNNNNNNNNNNNNNNNNNNNNNNNNNNNNNNNNNNNNNNNNNNNNNNNNNNNNNNNNNNNNNNNNNNNNNNNNNNNNNNNNNNNNNNNNNNNNNNNNNNNNNNNNNNNNNNNNNNNNNNNNNNNNNNNNNNNNNNNAUAUAUAUAUAUAUAUAUAUAUAUAUAUAUAUAUAUAUAUAUAUAUUAAAAAAAUAAUGUAAUAUUAAAGAGAUUUUUGUUUCCUGUAAUUUCAGAAAGUUCUAUUAAUUUUGACUGUUUUCACAAGAAACCAUAUUAAGUUUUGAUUUAAUUUUUUAAAACAAUUUUUCGGCCGUUUAAUAAACCAAACUGCAUUUAAGUUUCUUUUAUUAAGAUCUUGAUAUUUUAACAAUACUUUUUAACAAUUUUUUGAUAAUAAAAUAUGUAUCAUCAUUUUAUUUAUCUUUUUAAAUUUACUUUAAAAAAAUAUUUAAAACAAAUUAAUCACAAACUAUUAAAUAUUAAAAAGUUAUCAAAGAGUUCUUAAAAGAAACUUUUUCCUUCUAAAUCAGAUUUUGGCUGUCUUUUAACUAACUUGACCUGUAAAUCUUGAUAUUUCCCUUUUUCGUGCCUCUGUUUUUUUCCGCAAUUUUCCAUUUUUUCUCCACUACCGUAGCUUCACGCUCCUUUCUUCUCCACUUUUCCACUUCUCAAGUUUUAAUUUUUCCUUCCCUGAUUUUGUGUACGCUAAUCAGAUUUUGAUGAACUCGAGUACAAAAUGCAAAACCUUGUGACUCGAAACAACUCACAUGGCAUUCCAGCGAUGUCGUGCCUUUGCCGCCAUUGCCAAAGGCCAAACUUGUUGGAGUCACCCGAUUCUUGCUAAUCCGUUUGGCCGGUGGAAGGAAAGGCAUCACACGAAGGCCAGGAAGAAAAGGACGGUAGAGAUUUGGAAAACGCCCUUGCCACUAUAGAAGAAAAUGCGCUCUCUCAUUUAAUAUUGUAAAUGGAACAUGCACACUUUUAUUUCUUACAAAUUUUUUAAACCAUUUUAAUUAUUGUGUUUGUGUUUUUAUCUUGCAGCACAUAGUGUUGUUUUGAAGGCUAACAAGGUUGAAUGGAUUAAGAAAAUAAAACUAUUAUAAGAGGUUAAGGUAAUCCGAACUCAAUAUCUCACUCUUAAACCUUAUUAUUAUUUAUAACGAUGAUGACGAUUUGGAUGAUUGUGAUGAUCUUAUGAAAAAAGAUUGGUUGUUUGUGUUGUGUUAGGUUAUUGUUGUUGGAGAAAGCUGUGUAUACUUGUCGCAUCAGCUUGAUUAUCCUGUGAAUAACGGCAUAGUACAAAAUUGAACAUAUAGUGUUAUGGGUUUAUAAUUAGGAAAAUAAAAUUUUAAUACCAUUUUUUGACACUAUUUUGACACUGCACACGUGUCAAAAUGUGAUUGGACGAUUUCAAAUUAAAAAAACAAACUUUGGUUUUUUUUCUUCCAAAUAUACUCCUGUCUCAACUUUUUUAAUUUGAAAUCGUCCAAUCACAUUUUAACACGUGUGCAGUGUCAAAAUAGUGUCAAAAAAUGGUGUUAAAAUAUCAUUUUCCUUAUAAUUAAUUCAAAAUGAGUUGAGAGAAGGAACUGUGGUCAGGUGCGAGAAUGGUGAUGCUACCUGACUUAGUGGUGAAGGGUUGUGCAUUGAGUUGGUUGAUCAAUUGGGUAGACAUAGUCUCUUUAUCAGAAAGGAGAUUACGGUGGCGCAUUUGUUGCCUAAUUGAUUGGUGCUAUAUCACUUUCUAAUACUAAUGUAUAAAAGGGCUUUAGACGUCUAUUAUUUUGGGUUUUUAACGUUUUUUUCACAACCGAUGUCAUUACGGGUGACGUUAAUGGGAUGUCGAAUUUCCAUAUAACAGACGUCUAUAUAGACGUCAGUUAGUGUCAUGUUCGACAUCAAUAGACGUCGGUUAAGGCCUACUCCGAAGUCUAAUAACACCAUAUAGACAUCGGUGUGGGAACCAACCGACGUCUAAGAGCACUAUAAAGACUUCGAACAUAUCAUUAGACGUCAGUGUAUGCAUUAACCGAUGUCUAAUAUGAUCGUUGUGUUUUAGUGCAGUUUUGUUCUUGUCUUUGGAUAACCUAGUAGCACACUCUGUCUUUGCUAGUUUCCCCCCAAAAAAAGCUUGCGUCUUUUGAAUUUCUCAUGACAUUUCAACCCAAAACCGAACCUGGGUUCUUGCCUAGUUCCAUUUUCAACCGCAAGAGGGAAAAAUUACGGUGAAACGAUAACUAGGCAACGACCCAGGGUCUUUUUCAGGUCGAAACACCAUAAGAAAUCCAAAAGAUGCCGCUUUUUCUGGGAGGCAGCUAGCAAAGGCAUAAUGUGGUACUACGUUACCCCAAGAAAGGAACAAAACUGCACUAAAACACAAUACAAGAAAAACACAUUUUAAUCAGUUGAAUCUGAAGAUAAUCGAUGAAAGACUAAUAUAAUUGGACUGAAACAAAGUUUAAACGGUUUAAAUAAAAAAAGACGCACCUGGAAUGCAAUGCCGCAAGAGAGAAAAAGGAGAGGAGGAAGACGAUGAUGUUUGCGUAACUACGAGUUUGUGGUUUAUUUAACAUGAAUUUAGGCGUCGAUUGUAACAGAAACCAACGUCUAUAGUCAGCUAGACGUCGGUUAUCUCAUUAAUGUGACGUCCAAGAUAACUUUUAAUCUGCCUUUUCAAUGCACCUUAGACAUCGGACACAAGGGGCACCGACGUCUACGGCGCUGAUCGGAAUGACUUUUCAAUUCCGGUCAAGGAAGUAGACGACGGUUGUCCUGGGGUGCUGACGUCUAUAACAUUUUAGACGUCGAGCCCCUACUAUUGGACGUCGAAGUUCUUGCGAGUUUGGUGAGUAGCAUUAAUUACAGCCACAUAGACAUCGUUCCCCCAGAAACCAGACGUCUAUACGGCAGAAAUUGACUGUCUUCUCGCCUUCCUGUCGGGCCCAUUGACAUCAAGUUAAGGGAGCACAGACAUAUAUAACAUUAUAGACGUCGAUUAUUUAUUACGUGACGUCAAAGCGCCUAGAAAUCAGGUGAAGAGCAUUAAUUGCAGCUAGAUAGACGUCUGCCCACUUCACAACUGACGUCAAUGGGGUAGAAAAGACUGUCUUCUCGCCUAUCUGUCAGGCCCUUGGAUGUCUGGUUAGGGAAGAACAUACGUCUACUAUAUUAUAGACGUCGUUUGCCCUAGAAACCGACGUCUUGGUUACCAACUUAUUUACGGUAAUACCACCAUCCAUUAGUAUACGUCGAACCAUCCUUUAACCGACGUCUUGUGGGUGAUGUUAAACAACGUUUUUGCACUAGUAUAAAUUGUAUUAUGCACAUAAUGUUUCUGUCAAUUGUUUAUCAAUAUCAUUAUAAACUACAUUUUGAAUUAAUCAUACGUUGUUUAUCAAAAUCUAAAUCAAGUACCUUGGUUUUAGGAAUCGAACUAAAGGUGAAAGACUUUUCCUUUUCUUAACUUUUAAGUGAUACUGCAUAGGUAUAUAUCAAUUCUCCAUCUCUUUCUGUUGUGAUUAUGCCUUGCUGCUUGGACCAUUUUGAAAAGAAAAAAAAAACUUUUCAUAAAUUAAAAUGCACCUCCAAAAAAGUAUUCAUAAUUGAAAACAAAAACAAGAAUCUAUGAGGGCUUAGUGUUUUCCUAAAUGGAAAAUUGUAAUUUAUGAAAAUAGUUGUUAAAAAAUGUCAAAUGUUAUUGAUACGGUAUGGAUAGUCUCAAAUGUUGUCAUUAAUAUGUUGAGUAGUGUUGAAUAUAUAUUAAAAAUGAUUUAUAAUUUUCUAAUACAUGAAGGACAUCAUGUAAAUUAAUAUUUUGCUUUGAUGUAUUUUGUAGAUUGUCUGUGAAGGUGCGAUGGCUUUGGUCUAUGGAAGAAGUUCUGCUCUGAACCCAAAUGCACCAUUAUUCAUAUGUUAUGCUUAUUCUGUAUCAUGGUGGUAUCAUUACAAUUAUCAACUUAAUUCAUGGCCUAUGAACUAGCCUUAAUUCACUCUUGAAAAAACUCUAGGUGUUUCAUCCUAUGCUUCCAAGCAUUUUACUCUGCACCUCCAAUAUUAAUUUUAUUAUUAUUGAAAAUUUUUGUGUGUGGCAUGGACUCCACCUCCAUUUUCUUCCUAUCACUAAACAUACAUUCCUGCACCCUUACACCCCAUUUCAUUUUUAUAAAAAGAAACCUUACAUCCAAGCACCCUAUUUGAAUUGCGGCUCUCAGAUAAUACUUUUUAUUUUGUAUUGAGUUUUUUACUUUGUAACUCAUAUCAAUUGUUAUAUUUGUGAGUGAGUGUGGUCUUCAAAAUUAAAGAUAUUUGAGAGGAGUUGUUAGUGUUUGAGUGCAGCUUGGAUGGUACAUCCAGAAACUUGACUUGUUUUAUGGUGGUGUACUGGAGUGCUUCGUGUUAACUUGGAAUGCUUCUUCUUUGUCUUCUUGUUGGUUGCAUUGAUAUUGUUGGAGAGGAGGUUAGUAUUUUUUUUUUUAAAUUUGUUUGCUUGGUUACACUUGCUGGUUGCAUUGAUAUUGCUGUAGAGGGAGGUUAGUAUUAUAUUUUUGUUAAUGUGUUUGCAUGUUUGCAUAGUUACGGAAGACAAUAAACAUGAAUCGGACAUCGAAAUCCGAAAAUGAACACAUUGACUAUUGAAAUCCAAUGCUGACCGAUUUGGAUGUGAACAUCCGAUGUAAGAAGCUUUAGAUUUUCAUAUUGGAUACAUGUUUUAUCUCAAUCAAAUGUUUACAUUAUAUUAUUUAUGUUUACAUUAUAUACUUAUUAUAUUAAUUUAUAAUUUUUUUUUUAUUUUAUGUAUGAGUUUAUAAUGUAUUAUAUAAUUUUCAAUUAAUAUAAAUUAAUUUCUAUGAAUUUAUUAAAGGUUUAAUACCUAUUUUGGUCCCUCUUUUUGGGGGGUUUGUUCAAAGUGGUCCUCCUUUUUUAAAAAGUUCAAUAAGGUCCUACUUUUUGCAAAAACUGUGGAAGUUAGUCCUUUUUGCUAAGGGCGUUAAUUCUGCUAACGGCAGAGCUGCCAGCUUGACAUCAAAUAUUUGCCAGCUGGCAGCUCUGCCGUUAGCAGAAUUAACGCCCUUAGCAAAAAGGACUAACUUCCACAGUUUUUGCAAAAAGUAGGACCUUAUUGAACUUUUUAAAAAAGGGAGGACCACUUUGAACAAACCCCCCAAAAAGAGGGACCAAAAUAGGUAUUAAACCUUUAUUAAAAUUAAUAAAACUAAUUUUGAAUAAAAAAAACUUAAUAUCAGCUUAUCAAAUAUGAAAAUCCGAAUAUAUGGAUAUCCAUUGUCCACGAUUUCGAUCGUAAAAAUCCGGUUGAGGUUUAAUAUGUUAUAUAAAAAAGUUAAUAAUAUUACUUAUUUAAUUAUUUUAUUAUUUUAUAAUUAGUUUUAAAAUUAUGUACUAUUUUUUAUGAGUUUAUAAUGUAAUUAUAUAAUUUUUAAUUAAUAUAAACUAUUUUUUAUGAAUUCAUUAAAAUUAAUAAAACUAUUUUUAUUAAAAAUAAACUUAAUGAUAGUCUAUCGGAUAUGAAAAUUGUAAGGCCUUGUAAAAAUUAAAGCCAAAAGUGUGUACACGUGGCAGCCUAGCAUUGGGUAAAGUUUCAAAAAUAAAAUUUUAAUAAAACACUUAUUCUAGGUUCCAGCUCAUUCUCCUUUCAUUUUCGUUCACCACCAAACACACAUCUCCCUCUUCUUCUUUUUCUUCAUUCCUCCUCCUUCCAUCUACCAUAACUCAAAAUCUAACCGUUUGUUUCUCAAAUUGAAGCUACCUAAACGUUCAGGACUCCAAGAGCUACGUUUCUACCGAUUGAUUUUCCGUUUCAUCCAACGGGUAAGAAAAACCCCUUUCUCCAUUUUUCCCUAGGAUUGUAAACAUGCAAUUUCUUGCUACAAGCAACCCAUUUUGUUUUCUUCCAUAAUCUAGCUUCUGUUUGGUUCUAAAAUUCGUUCUCCAUCAUCAAUUGAUGAUUUUAGGUGAUUCUCACAUUUUGGGUUCAAAGUACGUGGUCUAGGAUUCUUCCUUGAGUUGGCCGGACGCACUAGAGGUAAGGGGAGCUAGUUCUAUUUCUUAUUUUUAUUGUGUAAUGUGAAUGAAUGACAAAUUUUGAAGUGGUAUGUUGUUAAAGGCAUGAAAUUGGUUCUAUUGACUUGAAAUGCAUGUAUGGAAGUGGGUGUGUUGUGUGAAUUUGGUGAUUGAUGGCUAUGAAUUGUUUGGAAUGAUUUUGAAUGAUGAAUUAUUUAUGUUGGAACUAAUUUGGUGUGAAAAAUCUGUUGUGGUAUUGUUAGGAAGAAAAAUCAAGUGUCUUAGGGUCAAUUUUAGGUCAUUUAGAGGAAGUAAGGUAGUGAUUUUGAGCAAUUGAGGUCUGCACCAUAUUUGGAUUAUUGGGACAGUUUUAUCCACUGUAUUGUGACUUGUUUGAGUCACUAAAUUGGUAAAAAUAGGUGCAAAGAGGUAAGAUUGAGUUUUUGGUCUCUAUGUUGGUGAAAUUGGAGUUAUUUGAAGAGAAGAGAAGUAGUGAAUUUGAGAGGUAGAGGUCUAGGACUCUUUUGAACUGUUGAGGCAGCUUAGGCAAGUUAAUUAUAACUUGUUAGAACUAUAAAAUUGGUUAAAAUGAGGUUCUAAAUGGUAGAAGUGGAGUUAAUUCCUUAGGUUGAGGAAAACUAGUGUUUUGAGUGAGUUUAGAGGAAGUGAGAGAGUGUUUUUGAGUAAUUGAGGUCUAGGGUGUAAGUGGGCAGUGGGGACAGUUUGACUAAGUCAAUUAUGACUUGUUAGAAGUUUUAAAAGUGGUAAAAACAUUGCUUAACUGGUAGAAUUAGAAUUGGGCACAUGUGUUGAUGAAAUUGAGUAAUUUGAAUGUAGAUUGAUGUGAAAUCACUAGAGAAUUGGUUUAGGAAGUGUUAAAGUUGAUUAGGCAAGUUAGAUUCAUCAUAUAGAUCAAGUUAGGAGUGCUAGAAAUCCACCAAAAGGCCUAAAACGAAACUUAGGAGUGUGAGUUUGAAAAAUCUGCAUUUCCUGUCAACUGGUGUAGCACUCAGCGCCACUAAUCCCGCUCGAGCGCCACUGGACGCAACAACACUUUUCAGAAUUUGUUUUUGGUAGUUUUUGGGGUUCCGGAUGUCCGUUUUGGACGUUCUUUAGGUCGUUCUGGGGGUUUUUUACCCUUCCAGAACCAUUGGUGAGGGUCCCAAGGCUGUUUGAAUUACUUAAGUAUUGAUAAUUAAAUAUCAUAAAGAAAUUUGUGGUAAUAAGUGAUGGUUUUGUGAAAGUAUGUAAUGUAUGAGUUGUUUUAUGACAUGGUCGAUGUUGUGAUAUGGUGUAUGGGCUUGGUAUGAGCCAAUAUAGUACGAAUGUACUUGAAUGACUAUGAAAUUUUAUGUUUGAUGAAGCAAAGUGGUUUAUGAGGUACAUUAUUGAUUCAAGAGGAAUAUCAGGUGAUUUGAAGUGGUCGGAUUGAAUAUGAAAUUAAGAUCUCUCGGUGAGAUCAGUUAGUGUAUUGAAUGUAUGUAAGAGGCUUCCACUAUGGGGGGUUAUCCGUAACACUCUAACGGUCUUUCAUUCUCACUUAGAGAGGAUUGACGCGUGUGGUGAGAGUAGUGAGAGGUCCUAGGGUAGGCGCUAUCACUGGAGGUCUAUUCCGCGGUAACGAACCAGCCUUGUGUGUGGUCGGGUGAAACCCCUCGACAAUGGCUUUGCAAAGCAGUAGAGGCCACCACAAGUGCACAACCCGCCCCAGCUCUAUAUACAUUCUAUGUCCGGACGUGUCUAGGAGUCUUAACAUGACAUGAUGUUUGCUUUAGUGAGUUUUGUGAAAUGANUGUUUAUGUUUAUGAUGACUUACAUGUUUAAGUGUGUAUGANCGUUCUUGCAAUGAAUUGUAUGAUUGUUUGAGACCUAGCUCACCCUUGCACUUGUAUGUUCGUAUGUGUUUGCCUUCCCCCUUGCGAUGAUCAUCCAAUCCUUUGGAUGUGAGCAGUAGGUGAUGAGGUACCCUUGGAGCAGGCGUGGGAGACUGAGGAAGAUACAGUCCCUAAUACUUAGGACAAUUAUUAGUUCUUAUUUCAAUAGCUUGUUAAUUUUUGGAAACACUCUCUAGGCAUCCUUCGAUCUUUAGUUUAUUAUGUAUUUUGGAGAACUUUGGGGAACUUGUACUCAAGUCUUAUUUCGUUUUAAUUUCCACUAAAUUUCGGAUGACUGUAUAAAUAUUUAAAUAUUGUCAUCUUUAUCUCUUAACUGCUUUCACAUAUUGUAAUAGCUGAAUCCUAUUAUAUUAUAUGUGAAUAUGAUAUUUGGGAUGUCACAAAAAUCCGAUGUUCUUCGGAUGUCAAAAUCGAUUCAUGUUAAAUAUUAUAUAUAAAAAUUUAACUAUAUUACUUAUUUAAUUAUUUUAUUACUUUAUAAUUAUUUUUAAAAUUAUGUAUGAUUUUUUAUGAAUUUAUAAUUUAAUUAGAUAAUAUGCAAUUGUUAAAAAAUAAUUCUUAUUAAUUUUUUUAGAUUUUUGCAUGUUAUUUUAUUAAUAUUAUUUAACUAGGUUUGUUUUAUACAAAAAUUUGAUAAAACAAGUUAACUUCAUUUUUAUAAUUAUUAAUUUUUGUUAAUAUAAAAAAAGCAUUUUAAAUAUUUAAUUUUUAUAAUUUUUUAGAUAUAAAAAUUGAUAUGAAAAUUUUUUAAUAAUUUUUUAUAUAGUUUUAAGUUUAUUUAUUUUUGUGACUUUUUUUUUUAAGUUGAUUACAUUCUUAAUAAAUUUAUAAUUUAUUGUAUUAGUUUUUUAUUUUGGUAUAGGUGAUUAUAGUCUAAAUGAGCGAAUAUCGUUAUGGGAUGGAUUCUGAAAUAAAUUCUAUCAUGCUAUCAGAAUUUUUGUCUUUUACAAAUGAGGUUGUUGAAGGAGAUCUGACGAAUCAUUACACAACAAACCCGAUGCCCAACCUAGUACGUAUGACACCCGAAAAUGUGAGUGUCCUUUCCAGUAAAGGGGCAAGCCAUCUGGUAAUGGUGAUGGGUGGGUAUUGCAAGUGAUAUACGAAUACCACAACCCCAAUUUAGCAGAAACUUUAGUGGGGCAUCCUUAUGCUGGUAUGUUUUGUUGGGUGUAUCGAGGAGGAUGUGACCUUGUGGGUUACACAAACACCAAUAAAGUCUGAGCUCAACCACAUAAGGGAUCGACACCACUCUUUACCCAAAACCUUAAGGCAUUAGAUUAAUUAGUCUUUCAUCUUAUAUAGUGCUUUAGUUUCUCAUUUCUAUCCAAUGUGUGACUUAGACUCACACUUGGAUUCCCAACAAUCUCCUCCUCAAGGGCGAGUCCCUUCCACAUAGGUAUACUCCCCCUCUAGUGGAAGCAUUCCCAACCAACCACAACCAUGAGUAGCCCUUUCCAACCGUUUCAACCGUCAUUUUAUCUUAACAGGUUGCUUACCUGAAUACCCUUUGCCAGGAAGACUUUCAGUAUAAGGACAAUUAUACUUGUCUGAACUGGCCACCAAGACAAACCAUCGACUCUCACACUUGGAUUCCCAAUAGAUAUGACUAAAACCAAAGUAACACUUGAAAAUAUUUUGUUGACUCUCAAACAAAAUAAUGAUCAUAAUGUAACUACAAUAAAACAAGUUUACAUAGCAAGGUAUAUAUAUAUAUAUAUAUAUAUAUAUAUAUAUAUAUAUAUAUAUAUAUAUAUAUAUAUAUAUAUAUAUAUAUAUAUAUAUAUAUAUAUANNNNNNNNNNNNNNNNNNNNNNNNNNNNNNNNNNNNNNNNNNNNNNNNNNNNNNNNNNNNNNNNNNNNNNNNNNNNNNNNNNNNNNNNNNNNNNNNNNNNNNNNNNNNNNNNNNNNNNNNNNNNNNNNNNNNNNNNNNNNNNNNNNNNNNNNNNNNNNNNNNNNNNNNNNNNNNNNNNNNNNNNNNNNNNNNNNNNNNNNNNNNNNNNNNNNNNNNNNNNNNNNNNNNNNNNNNNNNNNNNNNNNNNNNNNNNNNNNNNNNNNNNNNNNNNNNNNNNNNNNNNNNNNNNNNNNNNNNNNNNNNNNNNNNNNNNNNNNNNNNNNNNNNNNNNNNNNNNNNNNNNNNNNNNNNNNNNNNNNNNNNNNNNNNNNNNNNAUAUAUAUAUAUAUAUGUGUGUGUGUGUGUGUGUGUGUGUGUGUGUGUGUGUGUGUGUGUGUGUGUGUGUGUGUGUGUGUGUGUGUGUGUGUGUGUAUAUAUAUGUGUAUAUAUAUAAACGUUCAUUGAGAGGGUCGAAAACUAACCUGCAACAGUUGAUGAUGAUGUUGGAUCGCGAUAAGUACAUACAUUGGAGUAGAUGCGCUUCUGAGGUUGUCAGUGACAUCUUUUAGACACAUCCUGAUACAAUCAAGUUAUUGAAUGUAUUUAAUGUUGUUUUGUUAAUGGAUUUAACUUAUAAAACAAAUAAAUAUCAAUUGUCGUUGUUAGAUAUUGUUGGUAUGACAUCUAGUGGGUUGACCUACUUGAUAUAUAAACUUGUUGAAGUGUAUAAAGAGGUUGUCAUUUGAUCCUCGAUUAUAAUAUCUAUUGGAUAUAUAUUUGAAUUGGAUACCAAAUAAACAUAUUAAUAACAAUAUUUAAUUGUGAUUACAACAAAAGAAAAAAAAAUACAGUACAAAAUAGAAAAUAGCAAGUAAACUGAAUGUUGUUUAAAGACUUCACUCUUUACUUACACACGUAAGUUGAGAUAUUGAGUUCAUCCAUGGAAGAUGAGCUUUACACUACAAGCUCAUUGACAACAUCCUUCAUAGUAGGGCGUGAUCGUGGACUUUCAGUCAUGCAAGCAAGUGCUAUCUUCACAACUGAUGCCACCUCUUUAAGUAAACGUUUAGUUGGAGGAGGGAGACGCUGCUCCAACUUAUCCAUCAAUGUCAUAUGAUCAGUAGUGGAUGAAUAUGAUAAUAAGGAAGAUAUAAAAUCACCAGGAUGCUUUCCCAGAAGUAUUUCCCAUGCCAACACUCCAAAACUAUACACGUCACAUUUCUCAUUCACUUCCAUUGUGUAUGCAAGUUCUGUAAAAAACUAAAAAGUUGAUAUCAUAUGCAUUAAAGGAAGUAGUUACAAAGAUAAAAUAUAGAUAAUUGUGACCAACAAAGACAAACUAAAAUAUAUAGUAUAAGGAAAGAAAAUUGACCUGGAGCGGCAUAUCCAAAGGUUCCUACAAAUGAGGUCCAAUUGGAUGAAUUGGGAUUAAGAAACUUGGCUGUUCCGAAAUCAGAGACAUGUGCCACAUAUUCCAAAUCCAAAAGGACAUUUUUACUUGAUAUAUCACGAUGAAUAAUUGGUGGUGAGCAAUCAUAAUGCAUGUACAAUAAAGCAUUUGCUACAUCUUUAAUAACAUUCACUCUCUUAUUCCAAUCAAAUGCAAUUGCUUCUUCAUCAUCCUUCAAAAUAUUCUGGACAUUGCCCUUCUCCAAGAAUUCACACACCAGAAAUGACCAUUGGGAAUGUGAACAAAACCCAUAUAACUUUACAAUGUUACGGUGGCGAAUUUCUGUCAGAGCUUGGAUCUCACUUCUGAAAGCUUUCACAUUAAGGUUUUCUUCAUUUGGAACUGAAUGCAGUUUCUUUACAGCCACAACUUGACCUGAGGGUAACAUUGUUUUGUAAACUUGUCCUUGUCCUCCAACUCCAAUGAGAUGCUUAUCGUCAAAAUUUUCAGUGGCUUCAACAAUAUUCGCAAAUACCAUUUUGCCAUCAAAACUCCAUAUUGCAAACGUGUUUAGAGUUUGUAAAUUGGUAGCUUCCUCUUCCAUUUGCACUGAAUUUUUGCAUAAAUAAUACAAGACUCCGAAAACAAACAAUGCCAGCAUUAGAGUGCCCAAAGUAAGGGGUAGAACCAUUGUUAUGACUUUCUUUGUCAUAUGAUUAUGUGAUUUCCCACUUAGUGUUGGGCAAGGCUUUAAGCCACUAACAUUGCCACACAAGCCUUUAUUAUUUCUUACUGCUUCCAUUGUAGCAUUGCGAAACACAAGAAUGUUUGGAAGUGGACCCUCAAACUCAUUGUAAGAUAUAUCAAUAGAUGUCAAGCCCAUCAAAUCAUCAAAGCUAGAAAGAUCACCUGAGAGACUAUUAUGAGAGAGAUUCAACGUUUCUAAUUUUUCUAAUCCUCCAAGCUUAUGUGUUAAUCUUCCCCUCAACAAAUUUUCACUGAGAUCAAGAAUUGUAAGAGAUAUUAAUUUGUCAAAAUCUGGAGGAAUAUUUCCCUCAAAUUUAUUCUGACUCAAAUUCAUUUCCAAUAAACUGGGCAAAUUUCCAAGUUGGUCUGGAAUUAACCCAGACAAAUUAUUAGAUCCAAGCCUCAAAAUUUGAAGAUUCUUCAUUGAUGCAAUUUUUGUGGGAAUAUUUCCUGAAAGAUUAUUGUUGUUGAGUGAUAGACGAAACAACAAAACCAAUUUAGAUAAAUCUUGUGGAAUGCUUCCUGUAAGAUGAUUUGAGGAUAACUGAAGUUCUCGUAAUUCGGUUGCCUCGCUUAGUUCUGGUGGGAUAACACCUGAUAAGUUAUUGUUAGAGAUCUUGAGGCUUGUGAGGCUGCGGAACUUCCCCCAAUUUGGUGAAAGAUGACCAUAAAAAUUGUUUUCACUCAAUUCGAUGUAGUCCAAGUUUGGAAGUACACCAAAAGCAUCUGUUAUGUUUCCAGUUAAUUGAUUUUCCUCAAGUCUCACUCGUAUAAGGGUAGAGCAAUUCUUCAAACUCUCUGGAAUAUGGCCAGUGAAAUGGUUAUUGCUAGUAGAAAACCGUGUUAGUUUUCCCCCAAUGCAAAUGUUGUGAGGUAAAUGGCCAACAAAAUUAUUAUUAGCUAGCUGCAAAUUUUCCAAAGCAAUAAUCCUGUUCAUUUCUUUUGGAACCUUGCCACUGAGAUUAUUGUUAAGUAAAAAUAAUUCACGAAGCUUCGACAAAUUUCCAAUAGUGGAAGGAAUGGAUCCAGAAAGUUUGUUUUGAGAAACUAAAACGAAUUCCAAAUUGACCAGGUUACCUAUGGAAGCAGGGAUUGGUCCAGAGAGGUUGUUUUGAUAAAGAGAAAUGGAUUUCAAAUUGACCAGGUUACCUAUGGAAGUAGGGAUUGGUCCAGAGAGGUUGUUUUGAUAAAGAAAAAUGGAUUCCAAAUUGACCAGAUUACCUAUGGAAGUAGGAAUUGAUCCAGAAAGGUUGUUUUGAUAAAGUAAAAUGGAUUCCAAAUUGAUCAGGUUACCUAUAGAAGUAGGAAUUGGUCCAGAGAGAUUAUUGUCCAGCAACUGGAUUGUUAGAAGGGAAUGUAAAUUUCCUAUUUCAUCCGGGAUAAAGCCAGAGAAUUGGUUGCCAAAAAGGUAAAGAUAACUUAAAUUGCUCAAGUUUCCAAUUGUGGAAGGGAUUUUACCAGAGAGAAAAUUCUCAGACAAAUCAAGUUCACUGAGUUUUCUCAAAAAUCCAAUUUCAUGAGGAAUAAAACCUGAAAAUUGGUUUCCAAUAAGGUUAAGAUAAGUAAGACUGAUCAACUUACCAAUUUCACGAGGUAUGUGACCAGAAAGAUUACAACUGCUCAUGUCGAGAUGAAUUAGUUUCCCCAGCAUGUCAAUUUCUUGGGGCAUGGUGCCAGAAAGGCCACUUUCCCCAAGAUAUAGAAACUCCAGGUUGCUCAUAUUCACAAUUUCUUUGGGAAAAGAACCAUGGAAUUUAUUAGUUCCAAAUGACAAAUACUUUAGGUCCAUGUGCCAAAUUCUCUGAGGAAUACUGCCAGAAAGGUUGUUGGAUCCUAUAUCUAGAUGAAUCAAAUUGUUCAACUUUUCUAUAGAGAUUGGGAUUGUCCCUGUGAGAUUGCAAUAAGGAACAUGAAGCAUUCUCAGCUCCCUCAAUCUUCCUAUUUCUUGAGGAAGGGACCCACUAAAAGUAUUUUGUGCCAUGUUCAACUUUUGAAGGCUAAUCAACUGUGUUAUUUCAGAAGGGAUAAUCCCAGAGAGUUUAUUAGCAGACAAAUCAAGAACAACUAGAUUGGACAGAAUUCCAAUUUGAGGAGGAAUACUUCCGCUCAGGGAGUUGUUACUUACAUUUAGAGUGUGAAUGUUUGUAAGCAUUGAGAAGUUGAGAUUUUGAAGCGUACCUCUUAAUCCAAUAUUUGGAAGAUUUAUUUGGAAGACAUGAUUGGAGUGAUCACAUGCAAUUCCGAACCAAUUGCAAGAAGUGUUGGCAGUCCAUGAAUAAAGAGAAGCUUGACUCUGCUUGUCAAGGCUGGCUUUCCACUUCAGCAGAGCAUUUGCUUUUGAAGCAAUUCCGGAAGAAUUGAAAGCAUAAGAAUGGGGAAAUGCAGAAAACAACAUUAGAAGAAACAACCAAAAGGGUUGUAACUUCAUCGACAGAAGCGUUGGAAAUAUGAACAUCAUACUGAAUUGUUCACACAAUAUUGAAUUACAACGUUAGAGAAAGCUUGCAUGUUAUUCACGGAAUGUGCCGCUACUUAUAAACUAAUAGUCAAUGGUAUAUGACUCAAGUCAACAUUAUUAACUGCAUGUUGGCGUGUUCCAUAAUUUAUCGUCCUUAAUACGGAUAGUUUCUUCCAUGUAAAGAUAUUAAUUUAUUGUCAUAUCACUGUUUAAUAACACAAAUUUAAAAGUAAAAAUAAAUUACUUUAAAAUCGAAAGAGAUAAAAAAUUACUUUCAAAUCUAGAGAUUAUAAAAAUAUUUUUAAAUUUGGAGGACUAAUAUAUUUUAAUUUACAAAAAUUAAAAUGUAAAUUUUGUAUUUGAGUGGUUAAAAAAUCACUUUUAAAUUUAACGGACUAAAAUAAAGUUUAAUGCAAAUUUUAAAGAAUAAAAAUAUUUUAGCCCGAAAAAUCUUAAAAAUGUAUUUUCACAUUAUUAUUUUACCAACAUGAUCUAGAUGUUAGCCACAUUAAUCAUGUUAACAACUAUGAAAAAUCAAAUUUAAAGAUUAAAAGUAUUUAUAAAUAAUAAUUAUCUAUCUUUUAUUAAAUAUAUUUUUAAUCUUUAAAAUAUAUUUUUAUCCGAAAUUUUAAAGUUAAAUAAAUGUAAUCAUUUUAAUUUAAUUAUGUUAACAUUUAUUUUAUACAUCAAAUAUGUUUCGUACUAGAAUUUAAAUUGUGUACAGUUGAAAAAUGUAUUUGACAAAUAAAAAUAUAACGUAAUUGAAAUUGAUUUAAAUGUUGAAAAAAGAAAUAGAAAAAAUAUCAAUAUUUCGAAUAAAUAAUUUUAAAGUGAUUAAAAACAUAUUUAAAGUUUGAGUUGAUUUCUGCAUGAUUAGUAUUAGGUAAAUUCGCAUUAUUUUUUAAUGAAAUAUUGACUUUCCAAGUCAUUUCAAAUGACCCGUAACAUAAGGUUCAAAACUUCAUGUAUAUAAUUCAUUUACAUGUGCUUUACACUCUACUUUUAUUCCUUUUAACUAUUUGUCAAGAAAAUCAAAUAAAUCAUAAACUUAAGAUUUUUUUAAGGAAAGAAAAUAACCAUAGAUAAAUGAAAAAUUAUGUAUAAAAUAAAAAAAAAAUUAUAUCCAAUAAAUUAUAAAAUUUAUAUUUUAUUAUUUUUGAGUCCUCGCAUUUGUCUCCAGUAGUUUUUAUAAUUGAUUUGUGGAGUCUUCUUUCCAUAAUUAUUAUUAGUGUAGGUGUGGUGACACAUAUUCUAAAGUAAGCUUGCAUAUUUGUCAAUGAAAGAUUGACUCAUUUAGUUUAUUUCUAUUAAUAAGUGUUAGUUGUUAGUUUUAUUUGUUAAUGAAAAAGUUAAACUUAUAAUCUUUUUCUUCUUCUUUUUUUUUUUUUUUUACAAACUCUUAAAAUCAAUUUUAUAUUUCAAUCGAGUCUUUCUACCGUACGAAAAUAUACAUUCAAAACUUUAUGACAAAUGCAUCGUAUUUAUCAACUUCACAUAUGUAUAUAUAAAUUUUGAUAUGUACAUUUAAAAUAUAUUACCAAUUAAAAUAUUCAAAUUUAAUAACUAUUAUUCAACAAUGCUUUAAGUAAAUUAUUUGAAUGAUGUUUUCUUUUUAAACCUAAUACGUUUUUUAUUUUACGAAAAGUGACUACCUAAAUAAAUAAAAUUUGUAUAUUUUAGUCAUAAUUUUUUUUUUUUAUUUACUAUUAAUGAAAACAGAUGUGCUACGCAUAUGUGUUUGCUUUUUUAUAAUAGUAAAAAAAAUAUUAUUAUUAUAGUAAUAAAAGUAAAUUUCAAUAAUUUUUACAAUUAUAUUGUAGGUAAUGUAUAUUUUUUUAGAUAAUGCUUUUAUUGUAAUAGUUAAUGAAAUUUUAAAGAAUUAGUUAAAUUUUAGAAAAAACGGUCAACUUGAAAAAAAAAACGCUUAAAAUUGAAAGAAAAAGUUACUUAAAGGAUAAAAUUUGUAAAAUAAUUAUUUUAAUUUAAAAAAUACUUAAAAAGAUAAAAUUAGAAAAAAAAAAUGUAUACACAAAAGAGAGAGACCUCUCUUCAUACAAGUAUAGUUAUAGAUAUCAGUGAAAACACAUAUUCUAAGCGCAUGUGUUUACCUCUCUUCUUUUUAUGAUAACAAAAACUAAUAAGAUUAUGAAUAUUAUAAUAAUAAUAAAAGUAAAUUAAAUUAUUUUUAUAAUUCCAUUGUAGGUAAUGUUUAUUUUUCUUAGAUAGUUUUUAUUGUAAUAGUUAUUAAAGUUUAAAAAAUAGUUAAAUUUUAGAGAAAAAACAAUCAAAUUGAAAAAAAAUUGUUAAAUUAAAAUAAUAAUCACUUAAAGGAUAAGAUUGAUAAAGUUAUUAUUUUAAUUUAAAAAAUACUUAAAACUUAAAAUUGAAAACAGAAUGUAUACACAGAGGUAAUCCUCUUUAUAUGUAUCUGUGUAUUAAAUAUAUAACGAGGGAAACUUUUCGAACAAGAAUUAAACUCGAAGAUAUUGGGUAUUGAAGAUGUACAAAAUGCUAAUUUAGAAAUGGUAGUGAGUUAAAAAAUAAUAAGACUUUAUUAUUUUAAUGUUAAAAGAAUUUAAUAUAAAAAAAAAUUGUUAUAAAUGAAUUUUAUUAUUUUAAAACGUAUAAUUUUUUUAUAAAUCACUUUUUUAGAAUUUUUUAUUUUUUUUCUAAGUGUUCUUGUUCCUAAGUCAUCUGUUUGACGAUCACGAUGUGUCUUUACGAUCACAGCGUCAAGGUUUACAAAUUUACCCGAUUAAUUUCAAGAAUAGAGUAAGUAAGUUUUGAUUCAUUUUUCUCUUUCCAAUCCGAAAUCUGUUUUAGAAUAAUCUAGUACUAUUGCAUGUGUAAUCAUGCUUCUUCUAGUCAUUCUUGGUUCACCUACAGUUCUAAGGACUCUACCCGUUUCCAAUUUGGUGUUUCGUAGGUUCGUCUAGAGAUUCCUUACGUUUCAAGCAAUCGACGAAACGUCCUUUGAAUAGGGUAGUUUACUGUGAGUUAAGGGAAGUUAGACUUUAUAGCGGAAAUUUAUGGUCUAAUUGAAUGAUAAAUUGAUUUGAGUAAUAAUUUAUAUGUUAAUGUUUCUACUAUUUUUUGUCAUGAUGACAAAUGAUCAAAUGAUGUGUGAAUGCUUGGUAUUGAGUGUUUAAAUGUUUCUGCAGUUUUGAUGAUGUAUGAUGAAGAUGUUUGACUGUUUGAAAUGGAAAGAAAAUGAGUGAAAUUGAAAAAGAGUCGGUUACUUGAGUUUUAAGCAUAAAAAGGGGAUGUUAAUUGGUAAAUUUUUUAGGAACUAGUUAAUUGAAGGGUAUAACAGUUCGAGGUCAAUUGGGAAUUCAUUUAGGACUUAUCAAGCUUUCAAACUAGUAAAAUCUGGUAUAAGAGGUUUUGAAUGGUUUGUGAGUGAGUUUUUACAUGUUUUUGGUUAUAACUUUGAGUUUUGAGUAGUGAAAUUGUGAGGGAAGGAUUGUAAACUGUUUUAGAGAGUUUUUGGUAAGUUAGGAGAUCAAUUAGGACUUGUUUAGAAGGCUUAUAUAAGAAAAGUUUGUUGUAGAAGUGAAAAGUGUUUCAUACGUUGAGUUCUUUAGUCAUUUUAGAGGUUUUAAGUGACGAGAAUGUAAAAUAGGAAGGUUGUGAUGAAAUUGAGUUGUUGGAGGGUGCUAACAAGUGUAUUUAUACUUGGUUGUGCAGUUUGUAAACUGAUAUAGAGGUUAGAAAGUGUAGAAUUGAAUUUGGUAGCUUAUAGGAGUGAAAAUGGGGUUUUAAGUGUCAAUUUGAGUUCCAACAGUGUUUACAGAGUUUUUAAAAGGUCUGAAGGGUCCUAGGGGUCUUUAGAAGUCGGGGUAAAGUGUUCAAAGUGAGAAAAUUGAAUUUUAAUUUUAUUGAUAGCGCUAGCGUUGAAAAUGACGAAAGUUACACUCUAGGAGUUGAAAACCAGUGCUGGGAGCUAAUGUUACAACACUGAGCGUUAUUCCUAGGCGCUCAGGUGCUACUAGGCGACGUUGUACCAGUUUUGGACCCUUCUGGAGCUAUUGGUGAGGGAUUCAAAGUUGUUUUCCUUGCCUAUGUUUGAGUUUGAAGGAGUUUUGUGUUGUUUAGUGGUUCUUCUUGGGUUGUUCUUGUGUAUUAAUGUAUAUGGAAUGGUUUCAUGUAAUUUUUGAUGACUUGUUGGGAUUGUUUAUGGUCCUUUGAAGUAUAAUCAAUGUUAUAUAUGUUUGUAUGCAAGGUCAAAGUGAACAGUUAUAUGUAUAUGGUUUCAAAUGGAUCCAUGUACUUACUGUAUGCAAUGUAUAUCUAAAUAUAUGGUUUAUAUGAGAAUGAAAGUGGUGUGUAAUGUAAUAUGAGAAAAGUGUGCUAUGAGAAGAAUCUCAAGGAGAGAUUCUAUAUUAUAGCAUGUUGUAAGAGAAUAUUUGAUAGAGAGAUUGUGGUACCCAGAUAUCUAGAUAUUCUACCAACUAUUUAACUCAUGUAUAGUUGAAUGGGGUGGCGGAGAGAAUGGCAGGAGGUCUUCACCCAAGCCCUCUGAGUUUUAGGAGUAGAAGAUUUACCUCAUGGUGACUAGGUCGAGUUACCCUUGUUUAUAACUCUGCAGAGUGUAAAUACUACCAUAAAUGCAUGCCUGUUGUAGUCUAUAUCAGCAUUAUAUCAAGAUUAAUGAGUAUAGUUAUUUUGUGGUUGAAUGAAUUGUUUGUUCUUGAAUGUUGUUAAUUGUUAAACCAAAUUAUUAUAUGAUGCUUUUCUUGUAUUUAACUUACCUUUACUUUUGUGUUGUCUGUUGUGUGUGUUGUUUUUUCUAUUUAGUUUUCUUAUAUUUGAAUUCCAGCUCUCAGAUAAUAUUUUUUUUUCUAUUCAGUUUUUUACUUUGCAAGUCAUAUCAAUUGUUAUAUUUGUGAGUGAGUGUGGUCUUCAAAAUUAAAGAUAUGUGAGAGGGGUUGUUAGUAUUCGAGUGCAGCUUGAGUGGUACAUCCAAGAAGCUUGACUUGCUUUGUGGUAGUGCACUUGGGGUCGUGCUUCGUGUUAGCUUGGAAUGCUUCUUUUUUGUGCUCUUGUUGGUUGCAUUAAUAUUGCUGGAGAGGGAGGUUAGUAUUUUUUUUUUUUUAAUCUGUUUGCAUGGUUACACUUGCCGGUUGCAUUGAUAUUGCUCAAGAGGGAGGUUAGUAUUAUAUUUUUGUUAAUGUGUUUGCAUGGUUACGGAAGACAACAUGAAUUGGAUAUCGAAAUCCGAAAAUGAACACAUUGGCAAUUGAGAUCCGAUGUAGGGAGCUUCGGAUUUUCAUAUUCGAUACAUGUUUUAUCUCUGUCAAAUGUUUACAUUAUAUUAUUUAUAUUUACAUUAUAUACUUGUUAUAUUAGUUUAUAAUGAAUCUAUGGAUAUUCGUUGUCCACGAUUUCGAACGUAAAAAUCCGAUUCAGGUUUAAUAUGAUAUAUAAAAAGUUAAUUAUAUUACUUAUUUAAUUAUUUUAUUAGUUUAUAUUUAGUUUUAAAAUUAUGUAUUAUUUUGUAUGAGUUUAUAAUGUAAUUAUAUAAUUUUUAAUUAAUAUAAACUAAUUUCUAUGAAUUCAUUAAAAUUAAUGUACAAUAUAGAAUAUCUUGUUAAAGAUAUUGAUAAGCAGACUAUAAAAUAAUUAAAGGAUAAUCAGGAAUAUUCGAAAGAAUAUUUAAUUAAAGAUAUUUAGCAACUAACCAGAUUUUCAAGUAAGUCUGUUUUAUUUUAGGGUUAAAUAUGUUUUUAGUCCCUAUACUUUGGGGCGAUUUUGGUUUUAGUCCCUCUUUCAAACUAAGGUACAAUUUAGUCCUUUAACUUUAGAAAACUCUAAUUUUAGUCCUUUUUACCAAUUUUUUUUAACUUUAUUGGCUAUUUCAAGCACGUUUCAUUAUAGCAUUUGGAUUGUUUACACUGUUUGACACAUUUUUUCUUCAAUGUUAACUGAGAAACGUGCUUGAAAUAACCAAUAAAGUUAAAAAAAAUUGGUAAAAAGGACUAAAACUAGAGUUUUCUAAAGUUAAAGGACUAAAUUGUACCUUAGUUUGAAAGAGGGACUAAAAGCAAAAUCGCCCCAAAGUAUAGGGCCGAAUGGUCAAAGGUGAAGGAGAGCGAACAGUCAAGAUCCAAGAAAAGCAAGCGAUCCGGUCAAUCUAAAUAUCGCGUUCGCCAGGUUAGUCUCUCGGUUCUACAAAAUAUCCACCGAAACAAUUAAUAAAACUAUUUUUGAUUAAGAAUAAACUUAAUGAGUCUAUCGGAUAUGAAAAUCCGAUGUUCUUGGGAUGUCAAAAUCAAUUCAUGUUUAAUGUUAUAUAUAAAAAUUUAAUUAUAUUUAUUAUUUUCAAACUAUGGUGUAAUUUAGUCCUCCAAUUUUAGAAAACUCUGGUUUUAAUAUUUUUUAUCAAUUUUUUUUAACUUUAUUUGUUGUUUCAAACACGUUUCAUUAUAGCAUUUGGAUUGUUUACACUGUUUGACACAUUUUUGCUUCAAUGUUAACUAAGAAACGUGCUUGAAACAACAAAUAAAGUUAAAAAAAAUUGGUAAAAAAGACUAAAACCAGAGUUUUCUAAAGUUGAAGGACUAAAUUGUACCAUAGUUUGAAAAUGGACUAAAACCAAAAUUGUCCCGAAGUAUAGAGACUAAAAACAUAUUUAACCCAAUUAUUUUAUUAAUUUAUAAUUAUUUUUAAAAUUAUGUAUGAUUUUUUAUGAAUUUAUAAUUUAAUUAGAUAAUAUGUAAUUGUUAAAAUAUAAUUCUUAUUAAUGUUUUAGAUUUUUGCAUGUUAAUUUAUUAAUAUUAUUUAACUAGGUUUGUUUUAUACAAAAAUUUGAUAAAACAAGUUAACUUCAUUUUUAUAAUUAUUAAUUUUUUUUAAUAUAAAAAAUGCAUUUUAAAUACUUAAUAUUUAUAAUUUUUUAGAUAUGAAAAUUGAUAUAAAAAAUUUUAAUAAUUUUUUAUAUAGUUUUAAGUUUAUUUAUUUUGGUAUUUUUUUUAAGUUGAUUACAUUCUUAAUAAAUUUAUAAAUGUAUAAUUUAUUGUAUUAGUUUAUGAUUUUAUAAUAUAAUUAUUAAUUUUGAAUUUAUUGUAUUAAUUUUUUAUUUUGUUAUAGGUGAUUAUAGUCUAAAUGAGCGAAUAUCGUUAGGGGAUGAAUUCUGAAAUAAAUUCUACCAUGUUACCAGAAUUUUUGUCCUUUAUAAAUGAGGUUGUUGAAGGAGAUCUGACGAAUCAUUUCACAACAAAUAAAAUUUUUUCCUCUCGUGAAAACUUAAUUGAAUGGGUAAGAAGGAUUGGAUAUGAUCUAGAAUAUGUAUGUUGUUGGAGGAAAACGUUUGUGUUGCUAAGAUAUGAAAGAGGUGGAAAAUAUAGAAAAUACAAACCCAAUGUCCAACCUAGUACGUAUGACACCCAAAAAUGUAAGUGUCCUUUCCAGUAAAGGGAAAAGCCAUCUUGUAAUGGCGAUGAUGGAUAUUCCAAGUGAUAUACGGAUACCACAACCAUGAUUUAGCAGAAACUUUAGUGGGACAUCCUUAUGCUGGUAGGUUUUAUUGGGUGUAUCGAGGAGGAGGUUACCUUGUGGAUUACACAAACACAAAUAACAUCCAACCACAUAAGGGAUCGACACCACUCUUUACCCAAAACCUUAAGGCAUUGGAUUAGUGGGUCUUUCAUAUUAUAUAGUGCUAUACUUUCUCAUUUUUAUCCAAUGUGUGACUUAGACUCACACUUGGAUUCCCAACAGAUAUGACUAAAACCCAAGUAACACUUGCAAAUAUUUUGUUGACUCUCAAACAAAAUAAUUAUCAUAAUGUAACUACAAUAAAACAAGUUUACAUAGUAAGGUAUAUAUAUAUAUAUAUAUAUAUAUAUAUAUAUAUAUAUAUAUAUAUAUAUAUAUAAACGCUUGUUGAGACGGUCGAAAGCUAAGUUGUAAAAGUUGAUGAUGAUGUUGGAUUGCGACAAGUACAUACAUUGGAGUAGAUGUGUGGAGGAUUGAGGUUGUCAGUGACCUCUUUUGGACACAUCAUGAUGCAAUCAAGUUAUUGAAUUAUUUAAUGUUGUUUUGUUAAUGGAUUCGACUUAUAAAACAAAUAAAUAUCAAUGUCGUUGUUAGAGAUUGCUGGUAUGACAUUUAUUGGAUUGACACUAGUGCAAAAACGUUGUUUAACGUCACCCAUUAGACGUCGGUUUCGUGAAAAACCGACAUCUAUCACUGCACGGUGGCAUUAUCGUAAAUAUAUUGGAAAACUAGACGUCAGUUACGCUGUUAGGCGACGUCUAUGACAUCAUAGACAUCGAACAUGCCGACUAUCCGACGUCCAAUUGUCUGAGGUAUGUGAUAAGACAGUCAAUUCGACAUCGGCUAGAAAAGGGCACCGACGUUCAAGUCACUUACAGGAAAUCAAACGUCAACUGGUUCAGCUUUAGACGUCGCAUAGACGUCGGAUCCCCUAAAAACCCGACGUCGACUGGGCGACAAUUUAUGCUGUUCACCUAAUUCUCAGGCACUUAGACGUCAGAUAGUCAAACGGCGACGUCUAAGGCCUGUCUGGAAGGCGGGAAGACAAAAAUUCUUCAAUUUUGACGUCGGCUAGGAGGGGCACCGACGUGAACUACCCUGACAGGAAAUCAAACGUCAAUCUUUUCAGCUUCUUUGACGUAGAAUAGAUGUCGAAUCCCCUGAAACACCGACGUCUAUAGACGUCGGUUUCUGGAGCAACUGAUGCCCCAUUUCAUUUUAAAUAGACCGCAGACUCUUAUCGUCAUUCAGUUUCUCAUCACAUCUUCAUCUCUUCUCCUUUUUCUCUAUUUCUCCUCUUCUUUUACUCGCUUGCGCACCUCUACUUUUUAUCUCUUGCGGCAUUGCAUUGUGGUUUCUCAUAACGUCAUGGUCUUCGUCCUCUCCUGCAUCCUAGGUGUGUGGUUUUUUUUUAUGCUUUACCGUUUAAACUUUCUUUAGUUUUUUAUCGAUUUUCUUGUCAUUCAACUGAUUAAAAUUUGGCUUUCUUUGUGUUGUGUUUUAGUGCAGUUUUGAUCCUUUCUUUGGGUAACAUAGUGUAACAUUCUCCCUUUGCUGGUUUCCUCACAAGAAGAGUGGCGAUCUUUUGAGUUUUCUAUGGCUUUUCGACCCAAAAUGGAACUUGGGUCCUUGUCUAGUUCUCGUGUCACCGUAAUUUUUUUCUUUUGCGGUUGAAUAAUGGGAAGUAGUCAUGGACCCAGGUUCGGUUUUGGGUUGAAAGGUCAUAAAAGAUUCAAAAGACGCAAGCUUUUUUUGUGGGGAAAUUAGCGAGAGGAGAGUGUUGCACUAUGCUAUCGAAAGUUUGGAUCAAAACUGCACUAAAACACAACGCCUUUGUUAGACGUCGGUUAGUGCAUGGUCUGACAUCUAUAAGGAACAUAGACGUCGGUUAGUGUCAUUUACAACUUCUAUAUAUUCAUGUUGUCGUCGGUUUAAGCAUAGGUGGACGUCUAUAUAGAGUAAUUAGACGUCGGUGUAAGUAUAAGCAGACAUCUAUGUAGACGUCGAUCGAUAUCGUUAAUUGACGUGCAUAUAGACGUCGGUUCGGAGGAAUUGCGACGUCCCAUAGACGUCACCCGUAUAGACGUCGGUUGUGAAAGUGACGUUAAAAGCCCAAAUUAACCGACGUUAAAUAGCGUUUCUGCACUAGUGUGACUUCCUUAAUAUAUAAACUUGUUGAAGAGUAUAAAGAGGCUGUCAUUUGAUCUCAAUUAUAAUAUCUAUUGAAUAUAUAUAUAUAUAUAUAUAUAUAUAUAUAUAUAUAUAUAUAUAUAUAUAUAUAUAUAUAUAUUUGAAUUGGAUACCAAAUAAAUAUAUUAAUAACAAUAUUUAAUUGGGAUUACAACAAAAGAAAAAAAUACAGUACAAAAUAGAAAAUAGCAAGUAAAACCAAAUGUUGUUUAAUAACUUCACUCUUUACUUACGCACGUAAGUUGAGAUGUCGAGUCCAUCAAUUGAAGAUGAGCUUUAAACUACAAGCUCAUUGACAACCUCCUUCAUAGUAGGGCGAGAUUGUGGACUUUCAGUCAUGCAAGCAAGUGCUAUCUUCGCAACUGAUGCCACCUCUUUAAGUAAAUGUUUUGUUGGAGGAGGGAGACGCUGCUCCAACUUAUCCAUCAAUGUCAUAUGAUCAACAGUGGACGAAGAUGAUAAUAAGGAAGAUAUAAAAUCACCAGGAUGCUUUCCCAGAAGUAUUUCCCAUGCCAAUACUCCAAAACUAUACACGUCACAUUUUUCAUUCACUUCCAUUAUGUAUGCAAGUUCUGAAACAAACUAAAAAGCUGAUAUCAUAUGCAUUAAAGGAAAAUAUAGUGACAAAGAUAAAAUAUAGAUAAUUGUGACCAACAAAGAAAAACUAAAAACUAUGGUACAAGGAAAGAAAAUUGACCUGGAGCGGCAUAUCCGAAGGUUCCUACAAAUGAGGUCCAAUUGGAUGAAUUGGGAUUAAGAAACUUNGNUGUUCCGAAAUCNGAGACAUGUNCCACAUAUUCNAAAUCCAAAAGGACAUUUUUACUUGAUAUAUCACGAUGAAUAAUUGGUGGUGAGCAAUCAUAAUGCAUGUACAAUAAAGCAUUUGCUACAUCUUUAAUAACAUUCACUCUCUUAUUCCAAUCAAAAGCAAUUGCUUGUUCAUCAUCCUUCAAAAUAUUCUGGACAUUGCCCUUCUCCAAGAAUUCACACACCAUAAAUGACCAUUGAGAAUGUGAACAAAACCCAUAUAACUUUACAAUGUUACGAUGCCGAAUUUCUGUCAGAGCUUGGAUCUCACUUGUGAAAGCUUUCACAUUGAGGUUUUCUUCAUUUGAAACUGAAUGAAGUUUCUUUACAGCCACAACUUGACCUGAGGAUAACACUGCUUUGUAAACUUGUCCUUGCCCUCCAACUCCAAUGAGAUGCUUAUCGUCAAAAUUUUCAGUGGCUUCAACAAUAUUCUCGAAUACCAUUUUGCCAUCAAAACUCCAUAUUGCAAAUGUGUUUGAAGUUUGCAAAUUGGUAGGUUGAUCUUCCAGUUUCGCUGAAGUUUUGCAUAAAUAAUAAAAGACUCCAAAAAUAAAUAAUGCUAGUAAUAGACUGCCCAAAGUAAGGGGUAAAACCACUAUUAUGACUUUCUUUGUCGUUUGAUUGUGCGACUUUCGACCUAAUGUUGGGCAAGGCUCCAAGCCACUAAUUUGGCCACACAAGCCUUUAUUAUUUCUUAUAGCUUCCAUUGUAGCAUUGCGAAACACUGGAAUGUUUGGAAGUGGACCCUCAAAAUCAUUGUAAGAUAUAUCAAUAGAUGUCAAGCUCAUCAUAUCAUCAAAGCUAGAAAGAUCACCUGAGAGACUAUUGUGAGAGAGAUUCAAUGUUUCUAAUUUUUGUAAUCCUCCAAGCACAUGUGUUAAUCUUCCCCUCAAUAAAUUUUCACUGAGAUCAAGAGUUGUAAGAGAUAUUAAUUUGCCAAGCUCUAAGGGAAUAUUUCCCUCAAAUUUAUCCAGGCUCAAAUUCAUGUUCCAUAAAUUGAAUAAAUUUCCAAGUUGGAUUGGAAUUGAGCCAGACAAAUUAUUAGAUCCAAGACUCAGAAUUUGAAGAUUCUUCAUUGAUACAAUUUCUAUUGGAAUAUUUCCUGAAAGAUUAUUGUUGUUGAGUGAUAGAUCAUAUAAUAAGACCAAAUUACAUAAAUCUCGUGGAAUGUUUCCCGUAAGAUGAUUUGAGAAUAAAUGAAGUGCUUGUAAUUUGGUUGCCCCGCCUAGCUCUGGUGGGAUAAGACCUGAUAAGUUAUUAUUUGAGAUCUUGAGGCUUGUGAGGCUGCGGAACUUCCCCCAAUUUGGUGAAAGAUGACCAUACAAAUUGUUUUCACUCAAUUCGAUGUAGUCCAAGUUUGGAAGUACACCAAAAGCAUCUGUUAUGUUUCCAGUUAGUUGAUUUCCCUCAAGUCUCACUCGUAUAAGGGUAGAGCAAUUCUUCAAACUCUCUGGAAUAUGGCCAGUGAAAUGGUUAUUCCUAGCGGAAAAUUUUGCCAACUUUCCACCAACACAAAUGUUGUAAGGUAAAUGGCCAACAAAAUUAUUAUCACCUAGCUGAAAAUUUUCAAAACCUAUAAUCAUGUUUAUUUCUAUUGGAAUCUUGCCACUGAGAUUAUUGUCAAAUAAAGAUAAUUCACGAAGCUUCGACAAAUUUCCAACAGUGGAAGGAAUGGAUCCAGAGAGGUUGUUUUGAUUAAGAUAAAUGGCUUUCAAAUUGACCAGGUUACCUAUGGAAGUAGGGAUUGGUCCAGAGAGGUUGUUUUGAUCAAGAUAAAUGGCUUCCAAAUUGACCAAGUUACCUAUGGAAGUAGGGAUUAGUCCAGAGAGUUUGUUUUGAUAAAGAGAAAGAAAUUCCAAAUUGACCAGGUUACCUAUGGAAGCAGGGAUUGGUCCAGAAAGAUUGUUUUGAUAAAGUAAAAUAGAUUCCAAAUUGACCAGGUUACCUAUAGAAGUAGGAAUUGGUCCAGAGAGAUUAUUGCCCAGCAACUGGAUUGUUAGAAGGGAAUGCAAAUUUCCUAUUUCAUCCGGGAUAAAGCCAGAGAAUUGGUUGUUAUAAAGGUAAAGAAAACUUAGAUUGCUCAAGUUUCCAAUUGUGGAAGGGAUUUUACUAGAGAGAAAAUUCUCAGACAAAUCAAGUUCACUGAGUUUUCUCAAAAAUCCAAUUUCAUGAGGAAUAAAACCUGACAAUCGGUUUCCUUUAAGGUAAAGUUUGUUUAGAUUGCUCAAAUAUCCAAUUUCACGAGGAAUAGAGUCGGAGAGAUUAUUACUUUGAAGAUAUAGCAUCUUGAGGUUUAUCAACUUACCAAUUUCACUAGGAAUAUGACCAGAAAGUUGAUUGUCAUGUAAGCUGAGAAGUGAUAGAUUGGUCAAAGCUCCAAUUGAAAAAGGUAUGGACCCAAAUAGACCAGAAGAACUCAUGUCAAGCUCUAUUAAUUUCCCCAACAUCCCAAUUUCUUGGGGGAUGGUGCCAGAAAGGCCACUUUCCGCAAGAUAUAGAAUCUCUAGGUUCCUCAUAUUCACAAUUUCUUUGGGAAUGGAACCAUGGAAUUUAUUAGUUCCAAAUGACAAAUGGUCUAGGUCCAUGUGCCAAAUUCUCUGAGGAAUGCUGCCAAAAAGGUUAUUGGCUCUUACAUCUAGAUGAAUCAAAUUGUUCAACUUUUCUAUAGAGAUUGGGAUUGUCCCUGUGAGAUUGCAAUAAGGAAUAUGAAGCAUUUUGAGCUCCCUCAAUCUCCCUAUUUCUUGGGGAAGGGACUCACUGAAAGUAUUAUAACUCAUGUUCAACUUUUGAAGGCUAAUCAACUGUGUUAUUUCAGAAGGGAUAAUCCCAGAAAGUUUAUUAGCAGACAAAUCAAGAACAACUAGAUUGGACA